GUAAGUCCCCCACUCGUUGAACCACUGAUGGCUCUGUCACCAACUCUGGGCCCUUUCUUUGGUCUUGAAGCUGGGCAGGCACAGGGCUCAUAGGCUUGUGGGGUGAAGCCCAACAAGUAGCGGAACAGCCAGGAGACUGAGGAAACUCCAGAGCCAAUUCAGUGCAUGUGUGAAGCUGGUCUCCAGGGAGAAGCAUUCUCUCUCUAGUGAACCCAACUAGGAGGGGGAAGCCAGACAGGGUCACGUCCCCCCAUCCCCUUGGUGGAACCAAGCCAGCAGUCAGCUUGGAAUGUCUGCGGAAGAGGACUCUGGCAGCCAAUCUAAUUGCACAACCCCGCAACUCCCCUGGGCCAUGAGUCACCCGCCUGCUGUGAACCCACAGCGCUUUGAUGCAGCCCUUCUCAGAUCCCUGGGCCUGCUGCUCUCAUGCCUGUCUAGCCCAUUUCCCUGUGAGUCCAGGCAGGCAGCAUUAAGUGCUUUUUGCUGUGUCCCUCUGUGCCUAGCACUGUGCCUGAUGCUUUGGAAGCCUUCACUAAUUGUCUGUCAGAUGAACAAACACAGAUAAAAUAUCAGUUGACAAUUAACCCACUUCAAAGGAUACGGAACUCUAUUUCUGGAAACUGUAUUGAAGUAAUUGGUUCACAGCUUAAAUUACUAAAAGUGCUUACUGGAUAAAUG
ensembl:lncRNA